rnacentral:tRNA from 1 species
GCCCGGAUGGUGAAAUCGGUAGACACAAGGGACUUAAAAUCCCUCGGCCCUUGGCUGUGCGGGUUCGACUCCCGCUCCGGGCACCA